rnacentral:lncRNA from 1 species
GUGUUUUCCUGGUUUUUCAGAGCUGAGAAGUGAGCUGUCUUCCAACUCACCUGCAUAGGUGGAAGUCUUCCCAGAUGCUGUGCUUGAAUCUCUAAUUUGAUAUAUUUACAAGACUUGCAGAGGCUGUGAGCUGUGUGAAUACAUUGCACAUAAGAACUACAGAUGUUUUAAAGCCUUCUGUGAAAGUGAUUCUGAAGGUGUGGUCCCUGGGCCAGCAGCAUCAACAUCACCUGGAACUUGUGAGAAAUGAAGAUUCUCAGGCUCUUCUCUAUACCUACUGAAUCAGACAUUGGGUGCAAAGGGGAACACUACAGUCUGUCUUUAAGGAGCCCUCAAGAACCAGCAAACAUCACAGAAUUCACUAUAUUCUCUACAAAAGAAACUUUGGUAUUUUGUCAAGAUGAUACUAUAACAAUGAAAUGGAGAGUUCUACUUCCAGUUAUUAAUUACCCAAACAUAUUUCAUAUAACUAAUCAACUUUGCAUGGAAUGCUAAGAUAAUGACGUUUUUCUCUGCUCUAUCUUUAUGAAGCCAGGAACAGUAAUUGCACAGAAGAAAUCCGAUCUCUGUUGGGAUGAUUAGACACUAAAUAUCAUCCUGCAGAUAAUUAAUUGGUACUUCUCAAUCAGAGGUAAAAUUUUGUCCUGAUGACUCUAAACUUUAGCCAGCUUCUGUGUUGUAUCCCAUGACUUCCAACUCGCAGCAUCCCAACAGAUCGCAUCAUCUUCAGAGGCAGAAGUGAUGGCAGUAUAGCACAAUCAAACUAAGCUGGCCAAGAAUAUAUCCUUUACCUAAACCUGAAUCUUUCUACUCCUUAGAGACCAUCCAGUAUUUGAAUUUUGGUUGGGCUAAGAUAUUAAAGAUUCAUUAGUAUCCAAAGAAUUUGGGAAUCAGAAAGAAGCUCAGAACCCAUGUGGUCCAACUCCCCUAUUUUACAAAUUGAUUAUUUAUUCAACUCAUGUUUACUGAGAACCUGUUAUAUGCUGUACAGUGCUGAGGAUACAAAUUCUCAUGCCUUUCAGGAGAUUUUAGUGUAGUAGUAGCAAAUGACAAGAAUAGAGAUGCCUUAGAGCCCUGGCAAUGUGAGGGUUGGGUGGCAGGGGGCUUAAUGGAACACAAUGAAUAGGCAUUCCAUGCACAUUUUGGAGAUUUAGAAAAUGUCUUUGUUAAGUACGGGGAAAGAUACAAAAGAAAUAGAAGAUAGCAACUCAAAAGGAUUAGAAUUAAGGCCCCAGGGAUAAAGGGACUUGAAUUAAAUAUCUAAGAACUAGACUGUUUGAAUCUAACCUUUCCCUCUUCCCAGCUCCUUGACAGAGGCAAAAGGAUGUUGUCAUUAGACCCGCGCAGCAUUUGCCUUACCAAGAGCCUGGCCAGGGCUGUAAGAAUCCGUGUAGCUAGCAUGAAGGAUCAGGCGAGAAGGAAAAACAUAUGCAAGCAAUUUUUGGUGGAUGCUACUGUGGUUUGUGUAGUACAGCCUAUAUGUGUCAUGGAAUUCAAGGAAAUAAAUAGACAAAUGGGCAAGGACAUGUAGUUGGCUCUU